rnacentral:rRNA from 1 species
GCAAGUCGAGGGGUAACAUUGUGCUUGCACAGAUGACGACCGGCGGACGGGUGAGUAAUGCUUGGGAACAUGCCUUGAGGUGGGGGACAACAGUUGGAAACGACUGCUAAUACCGCAUAAUGUCUACGGACCAAAGGGGGCUUCGGCUCUCGCCUUUAGAUUGGCCCAAGUGGGAUUAGCUAGUUGGUGAGGUAAUGGCUCACCAAGGCAACGAUCCCUAGCUGGUUUGAGAGGAUGAUC